rnacentral:rRNA from 1 species
CCUGGCGGCGAUAGUGCGGUGGACCCACCUGAGACCAUACCGAACUCAGAAGUGAAACGCUGUAAUGCCGAUGGUAGUGUGGGGUUUCC